GUCACAAAAAAAAAAUUCAUAUAAAUCAAUAGUAUAAGUUGUACAAUAGGCAAAUCUCUUGGAAAGUAUCCAUAGCCACAAAUGAUAAUUUGCCAAAAAGAUCCAAGAAAUAACUUCUAUCAAUAUAAUGAUUAAUUGACCUAUCAUAGAAGAUUAUAUUCUAUUUCUUGUUUGGUGAGAAGUGAGAUCCCAGUGCAUUAAAACUCCUAACAAUUAUUUAUUUGGUGGGAUUAAAGCUCCUCUGAUCACUUCAUUUCACGCAUGUCUCCUGGUGCAAGAAGUCAAACUUCAAUUCUCCAUAGCCCCAUCCCCUUUAACAAGUCAGAACUCCCAGAAAAACAACACUGUUUGUUGUUGAAAAAGGUAAUCAGUAAGAGGAGUAAAAUUGAACUGGGAAAAUGAAUAAUAUCUUACACACACAGCAACCAAAUAAAAAUAGGAUAUGAAGGUUUUUAAAGGGAGUGAACCCAAGGGCUUGUACAAGACUGAAGUUCAAAACCAGGCCCAGACUAAAUACUAAUCAUUUGGUCUGGGCCUGAUGACUGCUAGAAAUCAUAUAACGCUGAAGUAUAUUUUCAAGUAUUAUAAGAUUUAAUAAAUUCUUCCUCCUUUUUCAUUAUUACUGGCCAUAUUUUUCUAUUUGAUUUAAUUAUAUUAUUUUCAUUUACUAGGAUUUAAACCAAAAUUAUUUAAAAUGAA
rnacentral:misc_RNA from 1 species